CUUAGUGAAAUGCUAACUGCAGGCUCUAACCACUAGUGCAAAAAGGUAUUAGGUGAACAAUAGGAGGGCUACAGCUAGGAAGAAGGUGAUGAAGACAGGUGUGGGAGACGUGCUGCCCUUCAUCAAGUGGAUUGUGUACAGGAAGAUCAGGUGACCCGGUACGACCAACAGGAGCAGCACCUGGGAAGAGCGAUGAUUGGCUCCUGUCAGAGGUAUGUUAAAGGGACUGGUCAUGUGCAUGAGCCUGUCUACAUGUGUGUGUCAUUACCUGAGCCACAGAAGGUCCUGCAGGGGUUGUAGCAGCUCCUGCGAUCCUCAGGCACCUGCCUCGGUGGGCAGUGGUGGUACAGAUCAGUGGCUAUACGACUGGACUGGAUGGCAGCCAGGUUCC